UACGUGCCAGCAGCCGCGGUAAUACGUAGGGCGCAAGCGUUGUCCGGGAAUUAUUGGGCGUAAAGAGCUCGUAGGCGGUUUGUCGCGUCUGCUGUGAAAGCCCGGGGCUCAACCCCGGGUCUGCAGUGGGUACGGGCAGACUAGAGUGCAGUAGGGGAGACUGGAAUUCCUGGUGUAGCGGUGAAAUGCGCAGAUAUCAGGAGGAACACCGAUGGCGAAGGCAGGUCUCUGGGCUGUUACUGACGCUGAGGAGCGAAAGCAUGGGGAGCGAACAGGAUUAGAUACCCUGGUAGUCCAUGCCGUAAACGUUGGGCACUAGGUGUGGGGGACAUUCCACGUUUUCCGCGCCGUAGCUAACGCAUUAAGUGCCCCGCCUGGGGAGUACGGCCGCAAGGCUAAAACUCAAAGGAAUUGACGGGGGCCCGCACAAGCGGCGGAGCAUGCGGAUUAAUUCGAUGCAACGCGAAGAACCUUACCAAGGCUUGACAUUCACCGGACCGCCCCAGAGAUGGGGUUUCCCUUCGGGGCUGGUGGACAGGUGGUGCAUGGUUGUCGUCAGCUCGUGUCGUGAGAUGUUGGGUUAAGUCCCGCAACGAGCGCAACCCUCGUUCUAUGUUGCCAGCACGUGAUGGUGGGGACUCAUAGGAGACUGCCGGGGUCAACUCGGAGGAAGGUGGGGAUGACGUCAAAUCAUCAUGCCCCUUAUGUCUUGGGCUUCACGCAUGCUACAAUGGCCGGUACAAAGGGUUGCGAUACUGUGAGGUGGAGCUAAUCCCAAAAAGCCGGUCUCAGUUCGGAUUGAGGUCUGCAACUCGACCUCAUGAAGUCGGAGUCGCUAGUAAUCGCAGAUCAGCAACGCUGCGGUGAAUACGUUCCCGGGCCUUGUACACACCGCCCGUCAAGUCACGAAAGUUGGUAACACCCGAAGCCGGUGGCCUAACCCC
rnacentral:rRNA from 1 species